GUUCUAUCACCUCCAGAGCAGCAGCAGCAGCAGCAGCAGCAAUAUGUAUCGCAACGAGUAUUACGAGUAUUUGUAUCUACAGCAAGUGAACUCUACUGAUUGAAUGCUUUUCUGGCAGCAGUUGAUUUGUUUAGAAAAUAAAGCACAGCACAGGCCUUUCUAUGCCAUGAAUGUAAAUGGCUAUACUAUAUUGUGUGUACUUGUACAUAUGUAUCUGUAUCUAUGCCUAGUUGCUGCUGGUUUGCUGCUGCUGCUGCUGCUGCUGCUGCUGCUGUUGGUUGUGGUAUCUUUUU
rnacentral:sRNA from 1 species